CCUGAAAGCUGUUGACUUCAAGCUAUGGCUGAUAAAACAGAUGCUUCUAUUGCUGGGAAAGGCCAGAGCAACAAUGCUUCAGAGCUGAGGAUUGUGUUGAUAGGAGGAAGAGAAUUAAAUGGAAUCUGCAGUGGCAGAAGCUCAGCUGCCUUGAGGCACUUUACAAAAUAAAAAUCCUGCUUGUACUCUACAUUGAGCCAGACCAACUUAAGUGGCUCCUGUUGUCUGGACACUCCAUGCGAUGUACGGGAUUUGCAGUUUCAUCCGCUGAGCUCCCUGACGAGUUACGCCCACCUACCAGCUGUUCGAUCACACUGAUCCGCUCCUGAUCAGACG